CCGGAAUUAUUGGGCGUAAAGAGCUCGUAGGCGGUUUGUCGCGUCUGCUGUGAAAGCCCGGGGCUUAACCCCGUGGUGUGCAGUGGGUACGGGCAGACUAGAGUGCAGUAGGGGAGACUGGAAUUCCUGGUGUAGCGGUGAAAUGCGCAGAUAUCAGGAGGAACACCGAUGGCGAAGGCAGGUCUCUGGGCUGUUACUGACGCUGAGGAGCGAAAGCAUGGGGAGCGAACAGGAUUAGAUACCCUGGUAGUCCAUGCCGUAAACGUUGGGCACUAGGUGUGGGGGACAUUCCACGUUUUCCGCGCCGUAGCUAACGCAUUAAGUGCCCCGCCUGGGGAGUACGGCCGCAAGGCUAAAACUCAAAGGAAUUGACGGGGGCCCGCACAAGCGGCGGAGCAUGCGGAUUAAUUCGAUGCAACGCGAAGAACCUUACCAAGGCUUGACAUACACCAGACCGGCCCAGAGAUGGGUUUUCCUCUUUGAGGUUGGUGUACAGGUGGUGCAUGGUUGUCGUCAGCUCGUGUCGUGAGAUGUUGGGUUAAGUCCCGCAACGAGCGCAACCCUCGUUCUAUGUUGCCAGCACGUGAUGGUGGGGACUCAUAGGAGACUGCCGGGGUCAACUCGGAGGAAGGUGGGGAUGACGUCAAAUCAUCAUGCCCCUUAUGUCUUGGGCUUCACGCAUGCUACAAUGGCCGGUACAAUGGGUUGCGAUACCGUGAGGUGGAGCUAAUCCCAAAAAGCUGGUCUCAGUUCGGAUCGUGGUCUGCAACUCGACCACGUGAAGUCGGAGUCGCUA
rnacentral:rRNA from 1 species